CACUGGCUGCAGAGGUUAGAAGAAAAGCCUUUGUUGUCAUUGUACGUGCAUACUUACAAUGAAAUGUGUCCCCUGCAUUUAACUAUCCUAAAUACAGUUAGACACAAUCCAACCACUCGGGGCAGUGUGUAGCCACAGUCCGGUGCCCAGGGACCAG